GCCGUUUAUCUAACUAUCCCACAUUUUGCUGCAAUGUGAAGAAUGUUUUUUUUUUUUUGGUUUUUGGUUUUAAUGUGACAAUGUGAAGAAUGUUCUGAACACAUGAAUCAACAUAGC
rnacentral:sRNA from 1 species